GACCGUGUAUAGGAUAAGUGGUAGUGAUUGAUGUUGAUAACAACCAAUCAGGGGCCAGUGCUGCCUAUUUUAGAGCCGGUUGGCUGUGUUAGGUGAUGUCACCUCCAGCCCCGCCUUUCUUGUUCCGCGUUUGUUGACAUCUGUUUCAGCCUGGUUUUUCGUUGGUUUUCCUGUUGGUUGCCAUGGAGUUAAUGACUGUCACCCAUUCAGCUCGCUUGUAGCAUAAAUGGAGAUGACUAAUUCGUAAUACAUGAGUGUACUACUCCCGGCUUGGAACUGAGGUCCCAUGGGUGCAGGAUCUUGAGGUGGUGGUGGUGUCACUGCACUUGACAUUUUUGCUGUGGACGGUUUGGGAAGUGUGGAGUGUGUGGAUCUAGUGUGGUGUGUGUGUGGAAGUGUGCUUUUUGAACACAACGGAGCACUGGUGAUUCCCCCCCCCCCAUGUGUGACCUCAGCCCUGUAAGUUAGUUUAUUCAAUUUAUUUCCCCGGUUAAUUUCAUUUUCAUAUUUACUUUGUAAUAACGUUGUUGUUGUCUUCUAUAAAUUUGUUUUCUUUUUUUGUUUUAUUUUACUGCAGUUGUGUUGGAGGGGGGUGCUGGCAAAAUGUUAAGAGAAUGUAAUGUGACCAUUUUAAUCUGCCACAAAUUCUGAAAAUAAAUUUUGUAUU